rnacentral:other from 1 species
AGCAUUCUGCCUUGUGCGAGCAAGCCUGUUUUGAUAUAAUCCAACACUUAUAUUCAGGGAAUCGCGCUCUGCGUAAAGAUUGCAGACCUCCCGCUUCGGCGGUUGCCAGGGAGCACGAGGUGCGCAGGCAGAUACCCACCUGCUCAAAGCGGGUUUUAUUGCACAGGCGACGGCAAGGCGGAGACUU